GAGUUUGAUCCUGGCUCAGGACGAACGUUGGCGGUGCGCUUAAUGCAUGCAAGUCGAGGGAGAAGCAGUUGUUCCGUAAGGUUCGACUGUGGAAACCGGCGAACGGGUGCGUAACACGUGAGAAACCUGCCCCCCAGAUCGGGAUAGCCCAGGGAAACUUGGAUUAAUACCGGAUACUCUCUUUGGAUCGCAUGAUCCGUUGAGGAAACAGUCCGCUGCUGGGGGAUGGUCUCGCGGCCUAUCAGGUAGUUGGUGAGGUAACGGCUCACCAAGCCUAAGACGGGUAGCUGGUCUGAGAGGAUGGUCAGCCACACUGGAACUGAGACACGGUCCAGACUCCUACGGGAGGCAGCAGCAGGGAAUAUUGCACAAUGGGCGAAAGCCUGAUGCAGCGACACCGCGUGCGGGAUGAAGGCCUUAGGGUUGUAAACCGCUUUCAGGAGGGAAGAAAAUGACGGUACCUCCAGAAGAAGCUCCGGCCAACUACGUGCCAGCAGCCGCGGUAAUACGUAGGGAGCAAACGUUGUCCGGAUUUAUUGGGCGUAAAGGGCUCGUAGGCGGUUCAACAAGUCGGUCGUGAAAGCCCGGGGCUCAACCCCGGGACGCCGGUCGAAACUGUUGUGACUAGAGUUCGGUAGAGGUGAGUCCGUAAACGAUGAACACUAGGUGUAGCGGACUGAUUCACGUCUGCUGUGCCGCAGCUAACGCAUUAAGUGUUCCGCCUGGGGAGUACGGCCGCAAGGCUAAAACUCAAAGGAAUUGACGGGGCCCCGCACAAGCGGCGGAGCAUGCGGCUUAAUUCGAUGCAACCCGAAGAACCUUACCUGGGUUUGACAUGGUGGGUCUAGCUGUGGAAACACAGUGUGCUUACGCGCUCAUCACAGGUGGUGCAUGGCUGUCGUCAGCUCGUGUCGUGAGAUGUUGGGUUAAGUCCCGCAACGAGCGCAACCCUUGUCCUAUGUUGCCAGCACGUAAUGGUGGGGACUCAUGGGAGACUGCCGGGGACAACUCGGAGGAAGGCGAGGACGAUGUCAAGUCAUCAUGCCCCUUAUAUCCAGGGCUGCACGCAUGCUACAAUGGGCGGUACAGUGGGCCGCGAUCUCGCAAGAGUGAGCCAAUCCCUCAAAGCCGUCCCCAGUUCGGAUUGAAGUCUGCAACUCGACUUCAUGAAGCCGGAGUCGCUAGUAAUCGUGGAUCAGCAAAGCCACGGUGAAUACGUUCUCGGGGCUUGUACACACCGCCCGUCACAUCACGGAAGUCGGUAACGCCCGAAGUCAGCGGCCUAACCCUUUUGGGAAGGGACUGCCUAAGGUGGGAUUGGUGACUGGGAUGAAGUCGUAACAAGGUAGCCGUACGGGAACGUGCGGCUGGAUCACCUCCUUUCU
rnacentral:rRNA from 1 species